UACGUAGGGUGCAAGCGUUGUCCGGAAUUAUUGGGCGUAAAGAUCUCGUAGGCGGUUUGUUGCGUCGGCUGUGAAAUCCCGAGGCUCAACCUCGGGUCUGCAGUCGAUACGAGCAAACUAGAGUGUUGCAGGGGAGACUGGAAUUCCUGGUGUAGCGGUGAAAUGCGCAGAUAUCAGGAGGAACACCGGUGGCGAAGGCGGGUCUCUGGGCAACAACUGACGCUGAGGAGCGAAAGCGUGGGGAGCGAACAGG
rnacentral:rRNA from 1 species